ACGUAUCUAUUACGAAAUCUUUCAAGGGUAGCUGCUUCUAGGCAAACCUCCUGGCUGUCUCUGCACUUCUACCUCCUUUAUCACUGAGCGAUCAUUUAGGAGCCUUAGCUUGUGAUCCGAGCUGUUUCCCUCUCGACGAUGAAGCUUAUCUGGGAGUA